rnacentral:rRNA from 1 species
GACGAACGCUGGCGGCGUGCUUAACACAUGCAAGUCGAACGGAAGUUAAGUUUUCGGAUUUAACUUUAGUGGCGAACGGGUGAGUAACGCGUGAGGAACCUGCCUUUCAGUGGGGGACAACAGUUGGAAACGACUGCUAAUACCGCAUGAUACUAUUGAGGGACAUCCCUUAAUAGUCAAAGCUUUAUGUGCUGAAAGAUGGCCUCGCGUCUGAUUAGCUGGUUGGUGAGGUAACGGCUCACCAAGGCGACGAUCAGUAGCCGGACUGAGAGGUUGGCCGGCCACAUUGGGACUGAGACACGGCCCAG